GUUUUCACGAAGUGACGGAUAAGAGGAAAAUUUUCACUUUUUUCAAUUUUGAGUUUUUUGCAUUUUUGGACAUCUAUGACUUAUAUCUUGAACCUCAAAAAGUUUCAGAUCACAAUAAUAUCUAAUUACGUUGCUAUGACGACAUGACAUUCAAUAAAAUACCGGGUAAAAGGAUUUCUUGUUUUCACGAAGUGACGGAUAAGCAGCCGUCAAUACGUGAAAACAAACGAAUACGCUUUGCACUCAAGAUUUUUUUCACGAAGUGACGGAAGGCAAAUAUUUACAGUUUGGAACAACCGAAGACCAUAAAAAGAUGCAGUAUAUACAAUAAGCGAUGUUUCAGAGAACAAAUGAGAGAAGUCCUGGAACUGGUACACUUGCUAUUUAACAAUGCUGAUGGUCAGAUACAAUUCCAGGUUAGAUCCAGGGGCCGACACGCUUGUCAGAUGGGUCAUUGAUGAUUCCCUGAACAUCGCAGAUAUGAUCUGAUUUGGUGACAUGACAGUGGAAUUGGUAGUGACUGGAUUUUUAUAGUGUGCCCUGGUUUUGAAAUAUUGAAGUAACCAAACUAGAAACAUCUUCUGAGAACUCUGACUGCAAUUCUAAUGAUGAAACUCUGUCUACACUUGUGAAAAUGUAAAAGGAGUUGGCUCUACCUCGUGGCCUUUCAGGUUCAGUGCUCUCAUCUAACUUUUUCUUUUUCCAGCUGGGUAACUGAUACCAAUUUUAAUUUUCUUUAGAUUUUGACUUCAACAUAAGUUAAGUUUUAAUUUUGAUAGGACUUUCAAAUCUGGUUUCAUUUUUAGAGCAGUGUAUUAUAUAAAGAAACUAUACUGCUUGAACAAUAAGUCUCUGCUCUUAUAGUGAUAUGAUUAUGAACUCCUUUAAAAAUAUUUUAUAUAUACAGUCAAAUAUAAAGUUCAGAAUAGUCACUUAUCUGCUAUACUUACAUGUUAAAAUUGCUAAUACACAUCGUCCACAUAUGGAUGCAGAAUAAUUACCCUUUUUCAUUCAUUUGUUUCGCAUGUUUUCAUUUUGCUUGGUGCUAUCUAAAAAACAGAAAUACUGCAUAUUUCUACAUUUAAAAUAAAACUGAAUGUUAUUAGCUCUAUUGUGCUUAAAUGUAUUGUGUUAAUACUUCAUAUUCUUUAAUAAUAACAAUCAUACAAUUUAGACUGACAUGCAUUGUGAAACUCGAUAGCUGCAUGAUAUAUUACUAGUAAGGAUGUAGGGGUGAAAAUCAUAUUAGGUUUUUGUGAAUUCAUUUUCAAAAGCCAAAUGUGUUAAUACAGACACCCCCCCCCCCCUCUUCCAUGAGGUAAUGUUUUAUUGGUUUAUCAGGGGGUGAGAAUUCUUAAGCUGAUUUUAGUUUUUUUUUCUUUUUAUUUUAAGCUUGAUAUCCCCCAUUCCUGUACAAUAGUUUGAGAGCUCAUUCAAUUUAAUCCCCCAACUCUUUACAGAAUUUUCAUGUCUUUAUUUGUCAUCGCUCACACACCUGGUUCAUGCAGUCGAUGUGUCGUAAUUUUAUUCCAGAAAAUCCAACUGUUAGAUUUUGUUAAUGAGUGUUAUUCAGGAAAGAAGUAAUACAUGAUUAUUUUUAGCUUGAGGUUAAAGAUACACUGCAGCACAUGUUUUUCUGUCUAUUUGUAGUAAGAAUUUUACUCUUUUUUUUUAAUCCCACAAGAUCAAAGAUGUUAUUUUCUAAAACCAUGAAGACGAUUUUUUGUAAAGUUUUCAGAUUUGGAAGAAACUAAGGUGUAUUUUAAUAUAUGUUCCUGUUUUGGACUCUGACAAUAAUUUGCAAUUAAAACAACAAGUGUUUGAUUGGAAAAUGUAUUGAUGAAUGUUAUUUAGCCAAUGACUUGAGAAUGAUGGAAAAAAUACAAAUCUACUUAGUCAUUCGUAUUUUUUAU
rnacentral:lncRNA from 1 species